GAUGAACGCUAGCGGCAGGCCUAAUACAUGCAAGUCGAACGAGAUUAAGAGGCUUGCUUCUUAUGAAAGUGGCGCACGGGUGCGUAACGCGUAUGCAACCUACCUUAAUCAGGGGGAUAGCCCGAAGAAAUUCGGAUUAAGACCGCAUAAAAACACAGGAUAGCAUUAUCCAAUGUUCAAAUAUUUAUAGGAUUAAGAUGGGCAUGCGUGUCAUUAGCUAGUUGGCGGGGUAACGGCCCACCAAGGCGACGAUGACUAGGGGAUCUGAGAGGAUGACCCCCCACACUGGUACUGAGCCACGGACCAGACUCCUACGGGAGGCAGCAGUAAGGAAUAUUGGUCAAUGGAGGGAACUCUGAACCAGCCAUGCCGCGUGCAGGAAGACAGCCCUCUGGGUCGUAAACUGCUUUUAUUCGGGAAUAAACCUUUCUACGUGUAGGAAGCUGAAUGUACCGAAGGAAUAAGGAUCGGCUAACUCCGUG
rnacentral:rRNA from 1 species